rnacentral:rRNA from 1 species
GGGAAACUGCCCGAUGGAGGGGGAUAACUACUGGAAACGGUAGCUAAUACCGCAUAACGUCGCAAGACCAAAGUGGGGGACCUUCGGGCCUCACACCAUCGGAUGUGCCCAGAUGGGAUUAGCUAGUAGGUGGGGUAAUGGCUCACCUAGGCGACGAUCCCUAGCUGGUCUGAGAGGAUGACCAGCCACACUGGAACUGAGACACGGUCCAGACUCCUACGGGAGGCAGCAGUGGGGAAUAUUGCACAAUGGGCGCAAGCCUGAUGCAGCCAUGCCGCGUGUAUGAAGAAGGCCUUCGGGUUGUAAAGUACUUUCAGCGGGGAGGAAGGCGGUGAAGUUAAUAGCUUCACCGAUUGACGUUACCCGCAGAAGAAGCACCGGCUAACUCCGUGCCAGCAGCCGCGGUAAUACGGAGGGUGCAAGCGUUAAUCGGAAUUACUGGGCGUAAAGCGUACGCAGGCGGUCUGUCAAGUCGGAUGUGAAAUCCCCGGGCUUAACCUGGGAACUGCAUUCGAAACUGGCAGGCUAGAGUCUUGUAGAGGGGGGUAGAAUUCCAGGU